AGAAACCUGGGAAGAAAACACGACAGUUCGCGUCAAUAGUAAGAGAGGUGUUGAGCGGAAGCAGAGCUCUGGAGCGUGAGGACAGACAGUGGCUGUAAUGAUGGACGUGUGCUGAAGGACGGGACUCAUUUUCAAUGAUGCCACCUUCCUU